UCGUCGCACCGAGAAUAGCAUGUCCACAACCUCGCCUUCCCCACAUGCCAUAGCCAUUCUUCAUUGCUUCCCCAACCCCACAUCCCCCACCCAUCCCCUUUUCCCCUCUCCAACCUCUGCUCACAUCCUUCCCCCCGACGGCUGGCCACCGUGUGGGGAGAAAUCAAGGUGGCAUGCGUACCGGAGAGAUGGGAGGAGACGGGCGGGCGCAUGCUUGUGAAGGGUUCCCGGGAUCAGCAGCUCCCUCCACCCUGACUCCUUGCGGCUUCCUUGCCGGGGAAACCACCACGCCGCCUCUAUCGCGAAUUCCACCACCGGCGACCCCCACCGUGUCCUAUUUUUCUAGUACUUGUUUUCUUGGUCUUCACUUUGCCCUUUUUCUCAGAUCUUUUUCCUGGUAUGUUGCCCUGUCAAUGGCCGCACCUCGUUCGCCCUGUCGGUGGUUGCGCCUCAUUUUAAUCACCGGCAGCUGCGCCUCAUUUUUCCAUGCCACCGGCCUGCAUCUCACGGCCCAGUCGGCGUCGGAAAGGAGCCAGGGGAGCUGGCGGUGCGAGCAGACAGUUGGGGCGGGAGGCGCUGUCUCCGUCGGGCGAAUCUGGGACGGAACCAGGAAAUACGGGACGCCGGUGGAGGUCUUCCCGUCGUUCUUUUUUCAAUCAGUUUUGCUUUACUUUUUUUUUCUUCUUUUCGAUCUGGAUUAGUUCACGUUUCAGAGAAUCAGUCCUGCCAUUUUUUUCAUUAAUCUAUUUUGUUUCACUUUUUUCCUUCCUGAUCUGGAUUCUUCACGGUAUGAGGGAAUCAGGUCCAUGUCGAUUUUUAAUCUGUGGCCAUGGUGGUGGCCACUGCCAGAUCUACGCGGUGACGGAGCUUGGUUAGUGGAUCCGACGCGGUUGUUUUUUCUACAAGGUCGGUAGAGGAAUCAGUCGUGUGCAGGUUCUAGAUCAAGCUGUUUCUUACUACCUUUUUCUUGAUCUCUCUUCGCGUCAUUUUCUCACCAAAACUAGCUCAUGUUCUCUCUGAAAUUGAUAAUUCCUCUAGCUCUUUCGUUUAUUCUUGUUGUGGAUCCAAUGUUCGUUAUUUUGGUAACUCUUGUUGUUGCAUCUCCCCCGCUCCCCUGGCUACCAUGGAUUCCGGCGCCGCCCCGGGCCUCCCACCGCGGCGGCCGAGUGCUCCAGCGGGUGAGCAGCUGGGGUGGGAGGUGGUUGGAUGGAGCUGAGAUGGAGGGUGUCGCCCUGCCUACAGUAAAACUGAUGUUGGUGUCUGAUGUUGGAAUUUCAGCGUCAACAUAUUUGUUUGAUGUUGCUAUUAUUUUUGGAAAAAACUUGAUUUGAUUUUUUAGUGAUGGAUCCACAUGUUUGCUGGAUCUUCAUUCCUCUCUCCUUUUCUUGGAACUUCUUCUCUCUAGCUCGAUAAUUCUUGUAGUCGAAGCGCUGGAUGCAUGGAUCACUGUGAACGAACUUCUCAUCCUUUUCUAUUUUUACAAAAAAUUAGUGUUUAUCUUGGAAACAUUCUCACCGGCGCGGUCGGAUGAAGGUGAAGACGCCGUCCGUGAUGUGUGCAUCGGAAGCAGCCAGCAGAGGAGCCUCGCUCCUGUGGUAAGGAGGAGGGGUUGGAGCUCUGUUUUUCCAUCAAUGUCAGCCCAGGGUAACCUCUGCUUUGUGAUUUCGAUUUGUGUAGCCUCUGUACUAGGACGUGGAAGUUUUCUUGCGCCUGGCUUGUUGCUCUGGACCUGUCCUCCUGUGGCUUAUUUCCUGCUGCCCUUGCCUUGAUACUGAUACAUCCCCUUUCCUUUGUUUUUCUGAUCUGCACUUUGUAUUUUCUUUCUGACCUGAAUCUGUUAAAUUCUGGGAUUUGCUGUGUACUCUACAUGGAUUUGAUGUUUCAGAUUGAUAAAAUAGAAAGCAAGUGGUGAUGAGUUACAGUUAGAUGUGCAUUUUCUAGUGUAUUGAACUUAUCAGCUUGAGUCCAUGAGGAUCGCGAGUGCUAUUUUCCCUCCCCAGUUUCGCUUUAUGCUCUAGAGUGCUCAAAGGGACACAUGUUCAGUCGGCACUGCAGGAGCUAGGUUCUUGGUGGAUUUGUUCUGGUCAAAUUGUCCUCCCGUAUGUGCUGCUAUUGAAGACUAAUUUCGUGAGAUAUAGAGCAGGUCGUCUGGUCAAAUUGUUGCUUUCCUUUGUUUGAGAGAAAAACAGAGCGGAGAGACGGAGCUGGAUUGGGAAUCAGAUAACAGGAGAGACACAUGCGGCUGCUAGAGUUGAUUUCAUUUUUUGGGUUGAAGAAGACGCUAGAGACAAGCAAAAUUAACCCCUGAUUGCUCAUGGUCUUGAUGCCCUUCUGGCGGAAACAGUAUGAACAACACUCACCUCAGGUUCUGCUACAAGUGUAAGAAUGGCACCCAGAGCAGGUGACUACAAAUCCAGAUUCAGACAAUAACGAGCCUGAGAUAGCGGACAGUAGGUAUCAUCUAAGAUCAUUCUGAUGAUGUUGCAUGCGAGAAGUAAUGGGGAAAGGCACCAGAUUCAGAAGGUGAAGCAGUUGGUAGAGAUGAUUAAGGGCACACACUGUGUAGAGAUUUCCAUGCGUUUCAAUUUGUUGAUGUAUACUGGUGUAUUGUUGAAAUAAACAAAUUUAUGGUUGUAAUUAAGGACCAGUAGAACGUUGCCGACAAUUUGUCGUAGACCACAAGAUUAUUUAUGUGUUAGCUCUUGAAAAACACAAACAGACAUGGCCUCUCACAAGUUUGAUUUACCAGCCUAAGAUCCGAAUACAAUCACACUUUUUUCUCGAUUGAAAAGUA